rnacentral:lncRNA from 1 species
UAUUUUUUAUAUUUUUGUUGCUAAGGCCAGGAUUUUUUAAUUUGUUGGUUUACGGAUCCGCCGACCCGAUUUUUCCGAUUUCCAGAAUAAAAAUAAAAUUGACUUUUCAUGCUUUUUUAUUCCCGCCGACCCUAACAAAUGCAUUAUCCCUGAAAAAUAAUUAAAUAUUUUUUUUUUAUGAAAUGAAAUGCAUUAAUCACUAACAAAAUUGAUAACACUUUCUGUUGUGAAAAAAUAAAACUUCCAGUUUACGUUUCUAAAAAUAGACAAAUCAAUUAUAACUGACCUUGAAAUGUCGUUUGCGCAAAUAAUAUUGCGGAACGAAACUUGUUUUUAAAACCAAUUACACAAUAAGUUCGUUUCCCUUAUUUGUCAUCAGUCCGUAAGAUCAUCAUCUCAUAGAAAUAGACUUGGCCAAAUGAAGGACAGGGUAAAGGCAUCAAGUUGAAGUACUGAAUAUUCUUGUUUCAUAGAUAAUAAAAAAAUUAUCGUCCAUUUGGAUAAAAAACGGGAAUGCGAGACAACAGAUUAACCCGAUAAUCUCGUUUUCCAGUGGACGAGUCUAUUAGGUUUUUAACACGUGUGUUGAAACUUAUUUUCGUACGACGUUUUUACAUUUUUUUCUUUAUCAGUUUUCGUGCUUGAAGAUCAUUAUUCACCAAGUUUUCUGGAAUUGAUAAAGAGCUACGCAAAUUUAUUUUUCUUGUUUCUGAUAUGACGAUUUAAUUUCGUCUUUGUCCGUGCACCCCCCUUUUUUUACUGUAAUUUAUUAGACAAUGUCAUGCGAUGUUUAUAACAUUUGAGCAAUAAUAUUUCAUCGAACUAAAAUUUAAGAAAUGAUGAUAAAAUAGCAUAACAAACAUAUUGUUAGAAAGGUGAAAUAUAUAUUGAUUUUGCAUAUUUUUCUGUCUUCAAAGAUGAUUUUUUUCUUUUUUUUUUCCCGACCGACCGACCCGACUUUUUCAUGGGGAAAAUCCGUAAACCAUCAAAUUAAAAAACCGUGGCAUAAA